UACAGAGGUCUCAAGCGUUGUUCGGAUUCAUUGGGCGUAAAGAGCUCGUAGGCGGUUUGUCGCGUCUGCUGUGAAAACCCGAGGCUCAACCUCGGGCCUGCAGUGGGUACGGGCAGACUAGAGUGCGGUAGGGGAGAUUGGAAUUCCUGGUGUAGCGGUGGAAUGCGCAGAUAUCAGGAGGAACACCGAUGGCGAAGGCAGCUCGCUGGGACGGUACUGACGCUGAGGCGCGAAAGCGUGGGGAGCAAACAGG
rnacentral:rRNA from 1 species